UACAGAGGUGGCAAGCGUUGUUCGGAAUUACUGGGCGUAAAGGGCGCGUAGGCGGCCUGAUAAGUAGGGGGUGAAAUCCUGCGGCUUAACCGCAGGGCUGCCUUCUAAACUGUCAGGCUGGAGCACAGUAGAGGCAGGUGGAAUUCCCGGUGUAGCGGUGGAAUGCGUAGAGAUCGGGAAGAACAUCAGUGGCGGAGGCGGCCUGCUGGGCUGUUGCUGACGCUGAGGCGCGACAGCGUGGGGAGCAAACAGG
rnacentral:rRNA from 1 species